CCCCGGGCUCAACCUGGGAACUGCGUUNUGAACUGGGUAGCUAGAGUAUNUCAGAGGGGGGUAGAAUUCCACGUGUAGCAGUGAAAUGCGUAGAGAUGUGGAGGAAUACCGAUGGCGAAGGCAGCCCCCUGGGAUAAUACUGACGUUCAUGCUCGAAAGCGUGGGUAGCAAACAGGAUUAGAUACCCUGGUAGUCCACGCCCUAAACGAUGUCGAUUAGCUGUUGGGCAACUUGAUUGCUUAGUAGCGUAGCUAACGCGUGAAAUCGACCGCCUGGGGAGUACGGUCGCAAGAUUAAAACUCAAAGGAAUUGACGGGGACCCGCACAAGCGGUGGAUGAUGUGGAUUAAUUCGAUGCAACGCGAAGAACCUUACCUGGUCUUGACAUGUACGGAAGAACUCAGAGACGAGUUUGUGCCUUCGGGAGCCGUAACACAGGUGCUGCAUGGCUGUCGUCAGCUCGUGUCGUGAGAUGUUGGGUUAAGUCCCGCAACGAGCGCAACCCUUGUCAUUAGUUGCCAUCAUUUAGUUGGGCACUCUAAUGAGACUGCCGGUGACAAACCGGAGGAAGGUGGGGAUGACGUCAAGUCCUCAUGGCCCUUAUGACCAGGGCUUCACACGUCAUACAAUGGUCGGCACAGAGGGUAGCCAAGCCGCGGGGUGGAGCCAAUCCCAGAAAACCGAUCGUAGUCCGGAUUGCACUCUGCAACUCGAGUGCAUGAAGUCGGAAUCGCUAGUAAUCGCAGGUCAGCAUACUGCGGUGAAUACGUUCCCGGGUCUUGUACACACCGCCCGUCACACCAUGGGAGUGGGGGAUACCAGAAGUAGGUAGGGUAACCGCAAGGAGCCCGCUUA
rnacentral:rRNA from 1 species